UACGAGUGCCCCGAGCGUUAUCCGGAAUCAUUGGGCGUAAAGGGUGCGUAGGCGGUCUUGUUAGUCUCCUGUUAAAUUCUUCGGCUUAACCGGGGGUCUGCAGGGGAAACGGCAAAACUAGAGGACGUGAGAGGUGUGUAGAACUCAUAGUGUAGGGGUGAAAUCCGUUGAUAUUAUGGGGAAUACCAAAUGCGAAGGCAGCACACUGGCGCGUUCCUGACGCUGAGGCACGAAAGCGUGGGUAUCGAACGGG
rnacentral:misc_RNA from 1 species